AUUGAACGCUGGCGGCAUGCCUUAUACACGCAAGUCGAACGGCAGCGCGGACUUCGGUCUGGCGGCGAGUGGCGAACGGGUGAGUAAUGUAUCGGAACGUACCAUUCAGUGGGGGAUAACGCAGCGAAAGUUGCGCUAAUACCGCAUAUUCUGUGCGCAGGAAAGCAGGGGAUCGCAAGACCUUGCGCUGAUUGAGCGGCCGAUAUCAGAUUAGCUAGUUGGUGAGGUAAAGGCUCACCAAGGCGACGAUCUGUAGCGGGUCUGAGAGGAUGAUCCGCCACAAUGGAACUGAGACACGGUCCAGACCCCUACGGGAGGCAGCAGUGGGGAAUUUUGGACAAUGGGCGCAAGCCUGAUCCAGCCAUGCCGCGUGAGUGAAGAAGGCCUUCGGGUUGUAAAGCUCUUUCGGCCGGGAAGAAAUCGUAUGGGUUAAUACCCUGUGCGGAUGACGGUAUCGGCAUAAGAAGCACCGGCUAACUACGUGCCAGCCGCCGCAGUAACAC
rnacentral:rRNA from 1 species